GUCGCUUUGGCCGAGUGGUUAAAGGCGUGUGCCUGCUAAGUACAUGGGAUUUUCCCGCGAGAGUUUGAAUCUCUCAGCGACG
rfam:Gossypium hirsutum cultivar TM-1 unplaced genomic scaffold scaffold2667.1, whole genome shotgun sequence